rnacentral:rRNA from 1 species
GCAAGUCGAGCGAACAGAGAAGGAGCUUGCUCCUUUGACGUUAGCGGCGGACGGGUGAGUAACACGUGGGCAACCUACCCUUAUAGUUUGGGAGUAACUCCGGGAAAACCCGGGGGCGUAAUACCGAAUAAUCUGUUUCACCUCAUGGUGAAAUAAUUGAAAGACGGUUUUCGGCUGUCGCUAUAGGAUGGGCCCGCGGCGCAUUAGCUAGUUGGUGAGGUAACGGCUCACCAAGGCGACGAUGCGUAGCCGACCUGAGAGGGUGAUCGGCCACACUGGGACUGAGACACGGCCCAGACUCCUACGGGAGGCAGCAGUAGGGAAUCUUCCACAAUGGGCGAAAGCCUGAUGGAGCAACGCCGCCGUGAGGUGAAGAAGGAUUUCGGUUCGUAAAACUCUGUUGUAAGGGAAGAACAAGUACAGUAGUAACUGGCUGUACCUUGACGGUACCUUAUUAGAAAGCCACGGCUAACUACGUGCCAGCCGCUGC